rnacentral:sRNA from 1 species
GAAUUUGUCUACUGCUGCAGAGUUUAACAACAAGUGUGGAAUGCCUUACAGAGAAAUAUAUCCAGGUCAGGGACAUGUUGAAGGAACGCCCUCUCCAUUGAUGAUGCAGAAACUCAUGUUGGGUCAAUGCUGAGAAUACAUGAUUGUGUGGAUAAUUCUCUGGCCUUGCAAGAAAUUCCACCCGUGAUGCUCAGUGAUGACUUCCUCAAAUGAAGAGGUGAUGCUACGCUUUGGAAAUGCAAAAUGUUCUGUGGCGCAUCCAGGAGUCUAAACGGAUCAUCAUUCUGCACAUAAUCCAUGGUUUUCAAUUAUCCGUGCCACUGGUUUGCCACGUUAG